rnacentral:rRNA from 1 species
UGGGGAAUAUUGCACCAUGGGCGCAAGCCUGAUGCAGCCAUGCCGCGUGUAUGAAGAAGGCCUUCGGGUUGUAAAGUACUUUCAGCGGGGAGGAAGGGAGUAAAGUUAAUACCUUUGCUCAUUGACGUUACCCGCAGAAGAAGCACCGGCUAACUCCGUGCCAGCAGCCUCGGUAAUACGGAGGGUGCAAGCGUUAAUCGGAAUUACUGGGCGUAAAGCGCACGCAGGCGGUUUGUUAAGUCAGAUGUGAAAUCCCCGGGCUCAACCUGGGAACUGCAUCUGAUACUGGCAAGCUUGAGUCUCGUAGAGGGGGGUAGAAUUCCAGGUGUAGCGGUGAAAUGCGUAGAGAUCUGGAGGAAUACCGGUGGCGAAGGCGGCCCCCUGAACGAAGACUGACGCUCAGGUGCGAAAGAGUGGGGAGCAAACAGG